UCUGGCGUCGUAUCCUAUGAAUCCCCAACUUUCCUGUAUCCGUGCAUCCGGCUAUCCUCGUCCACCAGGUCUGGAUCGUGUGCGUCUGCUCAUUCCAAGGCGGCGACUGCGACGACCGCGAUGAGCUUAGCGGUUCACUUGACGGCGACGGCGAUGAGGUCGGCACCAAGUCUGCGAGACGCAUCUCCAGUGAAAAUCCAUCCACGCUCGCCGUUGCCGGAGUCGAGUCGCCUCUCGACGGCUUCGAUGUGAUCUGCGGUGCCUAUACAGGUCUAUGGGAGCCGCAUGUGGCGCAGGUCCUCAUUCUCGCCGGUCCCUGACGCGGAGGACGCCGGCGUCUGCAGCCUCCGCACCAAUGGCGUCUUGAGGGAGCCCCACCUGCUCCUGAAGAUGCCGGCCUGCUGCUGACUCGCGUGAGCUGCGACCACAGAAGAGGAUAGCUUCAUAGCUUGGGAAAUUGGCCGGCUACAGGCUCUGAAUUUUCAUUGUUCUUGUUUACUGUAUCUAGUACUUGCAAAGUGUAACUCUGUAAGUUGCUGUGAAUGGAAAUUUGAGAAAGAACAGGUCAUACAUAUUUUUUAAUAUGUUAACAAAACCAAAUGAUUUAUACAAGGGAAAAGUGUAACUCAAGGUUGAGAACAUAUGGAAGUUCAGAGUGCUGAAACAACUACU